rnacentral:rRNA from 1 species
GAAAUCCGGACUAAUACAUCAUAGCACAUAUUAUUCGCAUGAAUUUUAUGUUAAAGAGACUCGGUGACAGAUGAACAUGCGUUCCAUUAGCUGGUUGUCGGGGUUACGGCCCACCAAGGCAACGAUGGAUAGGGGUUCUGAGCGGAAGGUCCCCCACACUGGUACCGAGACACAUACCAGACUCGUCCGGGAGGCAGCACUGAGGAAUAUUGGUCAAUGGGCGAAAGCCUCAACCAGCCAAGUUGCGUGGAGGAAGACGGCCCUACGGGUUGUAAACUCCUUUUACCUGGGAAUAACGGGCGAUACGUGUAGCGCUGUGCAAGUACCGGGAGAAUAAGCAUCGGCUAAUUCCGUGCCAGCAGCCGCGGUAAUACGGAAGAUGCGAGCGUUAUCCGGAUUUAUUGGGUUUAAAGGGUGCGUAGGCGGAAGAAUAAGUCAGCGGUGAAAUGCUUCAGCUCAACUGGAGAAUUUCCGAUGAAACUGUUUUUCUAGAGUAUAAAAGAGGUAUGCGGAAUGCGUGGUGUAGCGGUGAAAUGCAUAGAUAUCACGCAGAACCCCGAUUGCGAAGGCAGCAUACUGGGCUAUAACUGACGCUGAAGCACGAAAGCGUGGGUAUCGAACAGGAUUAGAUACCCUGGUAGUCCACGCCGUAAACGAUGAAUACUAACUGUUUGCGAUAUAAUGUAAGCGGUACAGCGAAAGCGUUAAGUAUUCCACCUGGGGAGUACGCCGGCAACGGUGAAACUCAAAGGAAUUGACGGGGGCCCGCACAAGCGGAGGAACUUGUGGUUUAAUUCGAUGAUACGCGAGGAACCUUACCCGGGCUCAAACGGCAGGGGAAUAAUCCCGAAAAGGAUUAGCCAGCAAUGGUCGCUGUCGAGGUGUUGCAUGGUUGUCGUCAGCUCGUGCCGUGAGGUGUCGGCUUAAGUGCCAUAACGAGCGCAACCCUUACCGGUAGUUACUAGCAGGUCAAGCUGAGGACUCUACCGGGCCUGCCAGCGCAAGUUGCGAGGAAGGUGGGGAUGACGUCAAAUCAGCACGGCCCUUACGUCCGGGGCGACACACGUGUUACAAUGGCAGGUACAGAGAGUCGCGUCGUAGCAAUACGUAGCCAAUCCCGAAACCCUGUCUCCGUUCGGAUCGGAGUGUGCAACU